AUGUACAUCCCUACAACAUAGAGUUAAUGCACCAAAUCCCAUUAUAACUCUGUAGUUAGGCACACUUAGGCUAGAGUAGUAUAGGGAUGGGUGACCUUCCGGGAAGUCCUUGUGUUUUACAUG
rnacentral:rRNA from 1 species